AUUGAACGCUGGCGGCAGGCCUAACACAUGCAAGUCGAGCGGAUAAAGGGCGCUUGCUCCUGGCUUCAGCGGCGCACGGGUGUAUAAUGCCUAAGAAUCUCCCUGGUAGUGGGGGAUAACGUCCGGAACCGGGCGCUAAUCCCGCAUGCGUCCUGAGGGAGAAAGUGGGGGAUCUUCGGACCUCACGCUAUCACGUGAUCCUAGGUCGGGUUAGCUAGUUGGUGGGGUAAAGGCCUACCGAGGCGACGAUCCGUAACUGGUCUGAGAGGAUGAUCAGUCACACUGGAACUGAGACACGGGCCAGACUCCUACGGGAGGCAGCAGUGGGGAAUAUUGGACAAUGGGCGAAAGCCUGAUCCAGCAAUGCCGCGUGUGUGAAGAAGGUCUUCGGAUUGUAAAGCACUUUUAGUUGGGAGGAAGGGCAGUAAGUUAAUACCUUGCUGUUUUGACGUUACCAACAGAAUAAGCACCGGCUAACUUCGUG
rnacentral:rRNA from 1 species